UACCAGCACCCCGAGUGGUCGGGACGAUUAUUGGGCCUAAAGCAUCCGUAGCCGGUUCUGCAAGUCCCCCGUUAAAUCCAGCUGCUCAACAGAUGGGCCGCGGAGGAUACUACAGAGCCAGGAGGCAGGAGAGGCAAGCGGUACUCAGUGGGUAGGGGUAAAAUCCGUUGAUCCAUUGAAGACCACCAGUGGCGAAGGCGGCUUGCCAGAAUGCGCUCGACGGUGAGGGAUGAAAGCUGGGGGAGCAAACCGG
rnacentral:rRNA from 1 species